GACGAACGCUGGCGGCGUGCUUAACACAUGCAAGUCGAACGGCAAGGCCCUGCUUUUGUGGGGUGCUCGAGUGGCGGACGGGUGCGUAACACGUGAGUAACCUGCUCUAGACUUUGGGAUAACUUCAGGAAACUGGGGCUAAUACCGGAUCGGAGCUCCUGUUGCAUGGUGGGGGUUGGAAAGUUUCGGCGGGUGGGGAUGGACUCGCGGGUUAUCAGCUUGUUGGUGGGGUAGUGGCUUACCAAGGCUUUGACGGGUAGCCCGCCUGAGAGGGUGUCCGGCCACAUUGGGACUGAGAUACGGCCCAGACUCCUACGGGAGGCAGCAGUGGGGGAUAUGGCACAAUGGGCGGAAGCCGGAUGCAGCAACGCCGCGUGCGGGAUGACGGCCUUCGGGUUGUAAACCGCUUUCGCCUGUGACGAAGCGUGAGUGACGGUAAUGGGUAAAGAAGCACCGGCUAACUACGUG
rnacentral:rRNA from 1 species